rnacentral:rRNA from 1 species
UUGAACGCUGGCGGCAGGCCUAACACAUGCAAGUCGAGCGGCAGCGCGGGGCAACCUGGCGGCGAGCGGCGGACGGGUGAGUAACGCGUAGGAAUCUACCCAGUAGCGGGGGAUAGCCCGGGGAAACUCGGAUUAAUACCGCAUACGCCCUAAGGGGGAAAGCAGGGGAUCUUCGGACCUUGCACUAUUGGCAGAGCCUGCGUUGGAUUAGCUAGUUGGUAGGGUAAAGGCCUACCAAGGCAACGAUCCAUAACUGGUCUGAGAGGAUGAUCAGUAACGCCGGAACUGAGACACGGUCCGGACUCCAACGGGAGGCAGCAGUGGGGAAUAUUGGACAAGGGGGGCAACCCUGAUCCAGCCAUGCCGCGUGUGUGAAGAAGGCCUUCGGGUUGUAAAGCACUUUAAGUGGGGAGAAAGGUUCGGCAGUUAAUACCUGCCGGAAGUGAUGUUACCCACAGAAUAAGCACCGGCUAACUCUGUGCCAGCCGCCGCGGUAA